GCAACGUUAAUCGACGCAGGGUUAGUCGGUUCCUAAGGCGAGGCUGAAAAGCGUAGUCGAUGGGAAACAGGUUAAUAUUCCUGUACUUCUGGUUACUGCGAUGGAGGGACGGAGAAGGCUAGGCCAGCUUGGCGUUGGUUGUCCAAGUUUAAGGUGGUAUGCUGAAAUCUUAGGUAAAUCCGGGGUUUCAAGGCCGAGAGCUGAUGACGAGUCGUCUUUUAGAUGACGAAGUGGUUGAUGCCAUGCUUCCAAGAAAAGCUUCUAAGCUUCAGGUAACCAGGAACCGUACCCCAAACCGACACAGGUGGUCGGGUAGAGAAUACCAAGGCGCUUGAGAGAACUCGGGUGAAGGAACUAGGCAAAAUGGCACCGUAACUUCGGGAGAAGGUGCGCCGGCUAGGGUGAAGGAUUUACUCCGUAAGCUCUGGCUGGUCGAAGAUACCAGGCCGCUGCGACUGUUUAUUAAAAACACAGCACUCUGCAAACACGAAAGUGGACGUAUAGGGUGUGACGCCUCCCCGGUGCCGGAAGGUUAAUUGAUGGGGUUAGCGCAAGCGAAGCUCUUGAUCGAAGCCCCGGUAAACGGCGGCCGUAACGAUAACGGUCCUAAGGUAGCGAAAUUCCUUGUCGGGUAAGUUCCGACCUGCACGAAUGGCGUAACGAUGGCGGCGCUGUCUCCACCCGAGACUCAGUGAAAUUGAAAUCGCUGUGAAGAUGCAGUGUAUCCGCGGCUAGACGGAAAGACCCCGUGAACCUUUACUGUAGCUUUGCACUGGACUUUGAGCCUGCUUGUGUAGGAUAGGUGGGAGGCUUUGAAGCGUGGACGCCAGUUCGCGUGGAGCCAUCCUUGAAAUACCACCCUGGCAUGCUUGAGGUUCUAACUCUGGUCCGUAAUCCGGAUCGAGGACAGUGUAUGGUGGGCAGUUUGACUGGGGCGGUCUCCUCCUAAAGAGUAACGGAGGAGUACGAAGGUGCGCUCAGACCGGUCGGAAAUCGGUCGCAGAGUAUAAAGGCAAAAGCGCGCUUGACUGCGAGACAGACACGUCGAGCAGGUACGAAAGUAGGUCUUAGUGAUCCGGUGGUUCUGUAUGGAAGGGCCAUCGCUCAACGGAUAAAAGGUACUCCGGGGAUAACAGGCUGAUACCGCCCAAGAGUUCAUAUCGACGGCGGUGUUUGGCACCUCGAUGUCGGCUCAUCACAUCCUGGGGCUGAAGCCGGUCCCAAGGGUAUGGCUGUUCGCCAUUUAAAGUGGUACGCGAGCUGGGUUUAGAACGUCGUGAGACAGUUCGGUCCCUAUCUGCCGUGGACGUUUGAGAUUUGAGAGGGGCUGCUCCUAGUACGAGAGGACCGGAGUGGACGAACCUCUGGUGUUCCGGUUGUCACGCCAGUGGCAUUGCCGGGUAGCUAUGUUCGGAAAAGAUAACCGCUGAAAGCAUCUAAGCGGGAAACUUGCCUCAAGAUGAGAUCUCACUGGGAACUUGAUUCCCCUGAAGGGCCGUCGAAGACUACGACGUUGAUAGGCUGGGUGU
rnacentral:rRNA from 1 species